UACGUAGGGAGCAAGCGUUGUUCGGAAUUACUGGGCGUAAAGCGCGUGUAGGCGGCUCUUCAAGUCAGGCGUGAAAGCCCCGGGCUCAACUCGGGAACUGCGCUUGAUACUGUCGAGCUAGAGUGUGGAAGGGGCGAUUGGAAUUCCGUGUGUAGCGGUGAAAUGCGUAGAUAUACGGAGGAACACCAGAGGCGAAGGCGGAUCGCUGGGCCAACACUGACGCUGAGACGCGAAAGCUAGGGUAGCAAACGGG
rnacentral:rRNA from 1 species